AUCACCCAGUCCCGAACAUUGCAGGAGCAGUUUAUCGACUAACGCUCCUGCAAUGGACCUGCAUUCACCUAUACAAUGAUCGCCGCCACCUUUGCCCGAAAUGGGAUGAUCGGACCAUGGAUUGUAUAGGUGUGUACUCAGCAUUACUGGCCUAUACCACAUUGCCGCUGCGGGAGAACCCAUCUAGACCUUCCGGCACGCAAGCACCGGGGCUGCCAUGGCAACAAGCAGCAGCCGCGAUCCGGAAGUGGGUCAGUUGACGAGUUCCGGAUGCUGUGCUCUGGCAGUGGAUGAGGACGUGGAUGAUUAGCGGGGGUAUUUCAGAUGGGAAAGUGUGUUUUUGUUUGUAUUUUGGUGUGUCUUGAAAAAGGACUAGGACUCAGCAAGGUACUCCAUAACUGUGAUACUCAGCAAGGAUCUCUAUAACUCUGAUACUCAGCAAGGAACCACAUGACUGAUACUCAGCAAGGAACCACAUGACUCUGAUACUCAGCAAGGAGCUCUAUGACUCUGAUACUCAGUGAGGAACCACAUGACUCUGAUACUCAGCAAGGAGCUCACUCUGCCCAAAUCCUUCUCUCAGAUACUCUAUUAUUAUUAUUAUUAGACACCACAAUGUGUCCACAGCAAAGUACAAGGAAUAUACAUAGUAGCAGUGUACCAGGACAUACUGUAUAACAUCGUGGCAGAAAGGGAGCGCAAUUGCGCCGAGUCCCGGAUGUGGCUCCCUUAUAUGGAAUCCAAAACCUGCAAGAUCUGACGCUGGAUGAAAACAAUACAGUGAUGUAGUCAAAACUGACUGUAAAUUAAUGUUAUUGAGGUUAAUAAUACUGUGGGAACAAAAACAGGCCCACGUUUUGUGAUUUUAGCUGUUUAAAAAAAAAAAAUAAUAAUAAUAAAAUGCAGAUUCAAAACAAAAACAAAACCCCGCAAUUAUGGUUUUGGCAAAACCAAUGAAUAUCCAAAGCACGGAGGAGAUACAGAUAGAAAACCAAUAGACAAGAAUAAGGCUGGCGCACAUCUCUAGUUACUGUAUGUCCACUUUCCCUACCUUUACCUAAUGUCAGCGCAGCACUUAUCCCUCUCACAGCUUGACUUAGGUGGGGAUGGUGAUCUCUACGUACCAGCAGGGUCAAUCACAAAAAGCUAUGCUUAGCUUUUUGAAGUUUAGUACAUAGGUGUGAUAAUGGCAACUGCAAUCUACAGCACAAAUGAGUCUUCUGCAUUAAAUUUAAGUGAAAUCUUCGGCAUUAGUCUAUUAGAACAUAGCAACAAUUCAUAAAAUUAUGCAGAAACUGGUGUUUCUAUAUUGUUUUUUGAGAAAAAAAAUGAAUAACACAUAGGGGUCUAUUCAAUUGAAGUCGGAAUUGCUAUCAAGUCAGAAAGACGUCACUUUCCGACUUUUUUAGGUCGAAUCAGGGUUCGACCUAUUCAACUCAGUUGCUGUUUUUCUGACAUGUGGAUUGGCGUAUUAGCUGCGGAUCCCUGCAUUUUGUCAAAUUUGCGGCCAUUUCAGACAGUUUUUGGGCCGUUUUCGACAAUGCUGAUUCGACUUCAAAAAAAGCCAGUUUAGCAUUGUUGAAAAUGGGCAAAACCUACGGAAAUGCUCGCAAAUUAAAUACUGAACUGUCGGAUCCUCUCCGUUGGAGAGGAUCUGACAGGAAUUGAAUAGAUCCCAUAGGCCCCUAAAUCUGAAUCAAAACCCUCAUAGCUGUCACUCAGGAAUGGUACUUAAAACACAAGUACAUUGGGCCUAAUUCAGAUCUGAUCGCUGGGCUCCGUUUUUUGCUGUCCUGCAAUCAGAGAGUCACUGCCUACAUGGGGAAUGUAUUUUCGCUGUGCAAGUAUGCGUUCCUAUGUGUAGCAGAGCUGCUCAAAAUUAGUUUGUGAAGUCUCUGCGCAGCCCAGGACUUACUCUUCAAGUGCGAUUGAAUCCUGCUGAUCGGGGCUGGAGCUGACGUCAGACACCCUCCCUGAAACGCUUGGGCACGCCUGCGUUUUUUCAGACACUCCCUGAAAACAGUCAGUUGCCACCCACAAAUGGCCUCUUCCUGUCAAUCACCUUGCGAAAGGCCGUGCGAAUGGAUCCUGUGCACCAUCCUGUCGCUGACUGCCGAUGCCCUUUGUAGACGGCCGAUGCACGUGUGCAUUGCGGCUCAGACACAUGUGCAGUUCGGAUCUGAUCGCCCGCUGUGCGAAAAUGCACAGCAGCGAUCAGAUCUGAAUUACCCCCAUUGUACUAACCUGCCAUCUCCAGGUGUGUCUGUGUCGCAUCUGAUCAGCUGCCAGCAGGACUCCAUCUUCUUCAUCAGAAGAGGAGAAUGAAGGUAAGUAGUAAGGAGGACUGAAAUGGAAGAAAAGAGGUGGCAGGAGAAAGUGCAACGAUAUAUAAACAUAUACACUGUGGCUUGGGCGAGGGGGCAUGUGGCACACACUGAGGCCUGAGGAGAACAUGGUGACUCACACACUGGGUCCUGGGGGUUGGGGCCAUGGUGACACACACAGGGCUGCCAUCUGAAAUGAUGGGGCCUGCGACUGACAAAAUAGGCUGAAAAAGAUUAGAAGCCAGCAGUGGGAGAAACAGAAUCAGCUGAGGGGAGAAGAGAGACAGUAGUGGAGGACGUGCAGGGAAUUAGCUGGGGCAGUAGAAGACUGAUAGAAGGGGGACUAAAGAGGAAAUCAGAUACAACUAAAGGUGGAUGAAAGAACAGUUAUGUGAAAAGAAGGAGAGUGGAAAAGAUAUAAAACUGGAAAAGGUACAGUAGAGAACAGAAAAGGGAACAAAGGAAUGAAGAGCCGAGUGGAAAAUGUUGUAUGGCUGAGUGAGGGGGAUGACUUUGUGCUUCUAUUGAAGACAGAUCACAGCAUGAGUGGACUUGCAGUAGAAGAAGCCUGUUGGUCAGUGUAUGUGUGAAUCUUCAGAGUUCCAUAAUGUAAUUUAUUAUAUAUAUAUAACAUUAUGGGGCCUUUAUAUCAAUACCCCUGCUAUGAGGCAUUGUUAGUGAAGGCGGUGUGUGCGCCGAGGCUCCGCUAUGUGAGCAAGCGAUGUGUGUAUACAGUACAGUGUGUAUAUAUGUAUAUAUAUAUAUAUAUAUAUGUAGAAUUAGAAUAAAUGUGGCUUUCCCUAUAAAUUUAUUACAGUCUAGCUUGCUGAUGCUUUUUUUAAUGAUCCGGCUUCCCCUGUUGUGUUAUGAAUCACUGCUGCAGCUCAUUUCUGUCUGUAUUCUGGCUUUCUCCUAGCAACUAGGAUGCUGGCUGUCACGUACAGCAGCACACCUAUUUGGAAUGCCUUGUUUCCUGACUUCAGUCUGAUGACUCCUGUGAUUGGUCUCUCUCCCUUUAAUUAGGGAUUCUGGCCAGUUCCUAUUGCCAGUCAUAUUCCUUAGUUCCUGUUACCUAGUGAAGCCUGUCACACAGUUCUCUACUCCUGUGCCCUGAUCUUUCUGUCUGAGUCCUGCAUCCUUGUACCUUUCCUCAAGUCCUCAUUGUGCUGUCCCUGCCAGUCCUUAACCCGUGCCCUAUUGGAUCCUGCCCAGUACCUCCUAUCCUGUGUUCAUUCCUGCUUCAUGUCCUUGUCUUGCUGUGGCCCUCCAGUUAUUCAGGUGUAUGGUCCUGAUCCAUGUCCAAGCUCCCAGCUUGUGUGUCUAUGGUUACCACUAGCAAAGUUUAUUCAUCGAGGCUAUUGAGUGAGCCCUUACUACUAGAGGUUUAAGCACAAGCAGCCUCCUAAGUUCCAGUGUAAAUGUUGUGCACUAAGGGAACAGCUGUUAUUGGCAGAAAACCCUUUCACAAGCUCUAGGGGUCUUAUACAUGCUACUGUGUCCUUUGGUGAUCCUGGCAUGCUGCGGCUUUCCUGAGAUGGUCAGUGGUGCAGGUUGUGCACCCAUGGGGAUGGUGGGAAGGGGCCUGCAUAAUUUGUCAGUCACGGCCUCACAAUUUCUUAUGGCAGCCUUGGCAGUAGCAGCUAGUAGGAGCAUGAUGACAUGCAAACUUUAGCCCGAGAGAUGGAAGGGAGAAAGCUGUAAGAUGAUUACUAAUGGGAAGCUGGGGAAGAACAGCUUUGUAGAGAAGGACCUCAGAGCAGUGAGUGCAACAUGUGCAGAGGAGGAGCUGUGUUCCCUAUGGAAACAGAGAGCAGGGUUCUCAUAGUUCAGAAUGCAGCCAGUUGUGGGUCCAUGAGUGAAGGCACUUCCACUGGCCCCCAGUCAAUCUGAUAGGCAGCUGCUUUGGGGGGAAAGAUGAGAGGUGGGCAAGGCAAGCCAUCACUGCCGGAGCCCACCCCAACUCCUUGGCACUUGCAGCCGCCACUCCAUCCACAUCAUAAAAUGUGUCAGCUAAUUGAGUGAUCUGCCAACUUAUACAGCUGGCUAAUUGCAUUUUUAAAAAUGUAUUUUUACGUCUGGCCAGACAUACUGUAAUAUCCAAUUAGUUUCAACCACCUUUGGAUCCUCCUUUAAUUUUGUAUGACUCCCGACUGCUGGUGCUUCCCUUUAAAACGCAGUCAUCUCCGAAUCAAUCCACAUCCACUGUGUCCUUUAAACAGAGAUGUUUCUUAGCUGGUGACGUGUGCUGAGCUCUAAUCGCGCUCUUAACGCGUUUCCACACCUACUGUUGGCAUCAGCCGCUUCCUCAGAAGUAGUUUGGAAACACCCCACCAAAUCUAACUCUCUGCACAUGUUAUAUCUGCCCUACCUGCACUGCACAUGGUUUUGCCCAUUAAAGAAAAAUUUUGCUGCUGCGAUCAGGGCUGAUUUAGGCCUUGUGUUUCAUUAUUUGGCCUAAUACUGGUAUACAAACACGGCUUUGUAUUACAGCUCCAUAUGCUUGCUGUAUAUGGUAGAAAUGUCCAAUGAUAAUCCAAAAAUAAAAGAGUUAUGUGAGAACAAGUGGAAUUGUGUUGCGCUCAGCUUCUUGGGUGAUGGUGUGUCAUAUAUUAUUUGGUGCUGAGAUCAAUCUCAAAAAUUGAACAGUAUACAAAGUUAUAAAUAUAAAUGCACAUAUGGAUAAUCUCCUAUGAGCGAAUGACAGAGCAAAGUGAGUGGAAAGAUAAAUAUGACAAAAGCUAAUCAAUGUUUAAAUCAAAACAAAAACUUGGCAUGUAAUAUAGCAGAUAUGGCAAUACGGUUCUGUAUAUAAUCGCAAAAAUGCAUGACAUACAGGUAGGUAUAUCUAUAUAACAUACUUUAUGACUAUGUGCAAACAAAUGUAGUAGUCAGUAAUUUGGAGAUGCAAUAGUAACCAAACUGUGGAACGGGUGUUGAUGGGCAAUAUGCUAUUACUGUAAUUAACCAGUGAUUGAUGCCUCUAAAAAGUAUCAAUAUUGAGCCUAUGUAAAUGUAGACAGUGGCAUCCCCCUUGUCUACAGGGAAACUAAAUGUACGUGCAACUGAGUUGCAGCUGUGUGUUCCUGUCUUCACGGUCUUCCUGGCAGGACCAGUGACAGGAGCUGGACUGCUUAGUGAUUAACAGGGGCUCUGUACUGACCAUCGUCUCUUGUGAGCCAACAACCAAUGAUGCGUCUAAGAACAGAAAUCUACCAGAGUAUGUGUCCCAGAGUUGACUGCAGUCUGGAUAUUUUGCCAAGUUAGGCUCCUGAGAACCAACCAGCCACCGGACAUCCCCUCUACUACAGAGAUUCACCUGAUGUUCCUCCUGCAGCCGCUUGCUCUGUGUCUGCUCUGGCUUCCUUCACCAGCUGCAGCGUUCAUCCCAAGCAUCUGUGGUCUGUGUGCCACACUUCUGGGAUGGCCUGUCAUGUGAUGCUGUAGUAGAGAACUCCGUGUGCCCAUUAAGUCCAAUGGAAGAGAUGACCUGGCUGCAU